rnacentral:rRNA from 1 species
UUAAUUGAAGAGUUUGAUCAUGGCUCAGAUUGAACGCUGGCGGCAGGCCUAACACAUGCAAGUCGAGCGGUAACAGAUUGAUAGCUUGCUAUCAAUGCUGACGAGCGGCGGACGGGU